GCCCCGCCUACCGGGGCGUGGUCGCCGGGCACGAACCCUCGGGGACCGUCGUGCAGGCGGGGCCGGGAUGCCGCCGGUUCGAAGCCGGCGACCGGGUG
rnacentral:tRNA from 1 species